rnacentral:rRNA from 2 species
UACGUAGGGUGCGAGCGUUGUCCGGAAUUACUGGGCGUAAAGAGCUCGUAGGUGGUUUGUCGCGUCGUCUGUGAAAUUCCGGGGCUUAACUCCGGGCGUGCAGGCGAUACGGGCAUAACUUGAGUACUGUAGGGGAGACUGGAAUUCCUGGUGUAGCGGUGAAAUGCGCAGAUAUCAGGAGGAACACCGGUGGCGAAGGCGGGUCUCUGGGCAGUAACUGACGCUGAGGAGCGAAAGCAUGGGUAGCGAACAGG